GGAGGCAGCAGUGGGGAAUAUUGCGCAAUGGGGGAAACCCUGACGCAGCGACGCCGCGUGCGGGAUGAAGGCCUUCGGGUUGUAAACCGCUUUUGAUUGGGAGCAAGCUUUCGGGUGAGUGUACCUUUCGAAUAAGCGCCGGCUAACUACGUGCCAGCAGCCGCGGUAAUACGUAGGGCGCAAGCGUUAUCCGGAAUUAUUGGGCGUAAAGAGCUUGUAGGCGGUUCGUCGCGUCUGGUGUGAAAGCCCAUCGCUUAACGGUGGGUCUGCGCCGGGUACGGGCGGGCUAGAGUGCAGUAGGGGAGACUGGAAUUCCCGGUGUAACGGUGGAAUGUGUAGAUAUCGGGAAGAACACCAAUGGCGAAGGCAGGUCUCUGGGCUGUUACUGACGCUGAGAAGCGAAAGCGUGGGGAGCGAACAGGAUUAGAUACCCUGGUAGUCCACGCCGUAAACGGUGGACGCUGGAUGUGGGGCCCAUUCCACGGGUUCCGUGUCGGAGCUAACGCGUUAAGCGUCCCGCCUGGGGAGUACGGCCGCAAGGCUAAAACUCAAAGAAAUUGACGGGGGCCCGCACAAGCGGUGGAGCAUGUGGUUUAAUUCGAAGCAACGCGAAGAACCUUACCAGGUCUUGACAUCCAGUGCAAACCUAAGAGAUUAGGUGUUCCCUUCGGGGACGCUGAGACAGGUGGUGCAUGGCUGUCGUCAGCUCGUGUCGUGAGAUGUUGGGUUAAGUCCCGCAACGAGCGCAACCCUCGCCCUGUGUUGCCAGCGGGUUAUGCCGGGAACUCACGGGGGACCGCCGGGGUUAACUCGGAGGAAGGUGGGGAUGACGUCAGAUCAUCAUGCCCCUUACGUCCAGGGCUUCACGCAUGCUACAAUGGCCGGUACAACGGGAUGCGACAUGGUGACAUGGAGCGGAUCCCUUAAAACCGGUCUCAGUUCGGAUCGUAGUCUGCAACUCGACUACGUGAAGGCGGAGUCGCUAGUAAUCGCGAAUCAGCAACGUCGCGGUGAAUGCGUUCCCGGGCCUUGUACACACCGCCCGUCAAGUCAUGAAAGUGGGCAGCACCCGAAGCCGGUGGCCUAACCCUUUUGGGAUGGAGCCGUCUAAGGUGAGGCUCGUGAUUGGGACUAAGUCGGAACAAGGUAGCCGUACCGGAGGGUGCGGCUG
rnacentral:rRNA from 1 species